CCUACGGGUGGCUGCAGUGGGGAAUAUUGCACAAUGGGCGAAAGCCUGAUGCAGCAACGCUGCGUGAAGGAAGAAGGGUUUCGGCUCGUAAACUUCUAUCAACAGGGACGAAAGAAAUGACGGUACCUGAAUAAUAAGCCACGGCUAACUACGUGCCAGCAGCCGCGGUAAUACGUAGGGGGCAAGCGUUAUCCGGAUUUACUGGGUGUAAAGGGUGUGUAGGCGGCAGUGUAAGUCAGAUGUGAAAGCUUUGGGCUUAACCCAAGGACUGCAUUUGAAACUGUACAUCUUGAGUCCAGGAGAGGAAAGCGGAAUUCCGAGUGUAGCGGUGAAAUGCGUAGAUAUUAGGAGGAACACCAGUGGCGAAGGCGGCUUGCUGGACUGUAACUGACGCUGAGGCGCGAAAGCGUGGGGAGCGAACAGGAUUAGAUACCCGGGUAGUC
rnacentral:rRNA from 1 species